UUUGUUGUGAUCUGUCUUAGCUUAUAACUUUAUUGAAGAAGCAGAAUAUGUCAAAUACACUUUUAGACAGCUUUUCAGAGUACUAUGAGAAUUUCUGUUUCAUUUAUUUCACAAACAAUUAUUAAGCAAUAAUCUACCUGCAGUGCAGGAGACCUGGGUUUGAUCCUGGGUUGGAAAGACCCCCCUGGAGAAAGGAAUGGUUACCACUCCAGUAUUCUUGUCUGGAGAAUUCCAUGGACAGAGAAGUCUGGUGGGCUACAGUCCAUGGGGUCACAGAGUCAGACAUGACAGCAACUAACGCUUUCAAUUCACUUCAUAAGUGCCAGACACUGGACCAGGUUCUAGCAUUAUAAGAAUGUGUACAUGUGCUAGUCACUCAGUCAUUCUUUGUGACCUCAUGGACUGCAGCCCUUCAGACUCUUCUAUACAUGGAAUUCUCCAGAAUGGACAGCAUAUAUGCACUACUGUGGAAAUCAUAUAAAGCAGAAGUGUUGUUUCAGCAGGAGAAGGCAGACUAUGCAAUGACGAUAAAAGGAUUUGCAGAUCUUCCUACGAAAAUGGCCAAUAUCCUGUCACAGCGCUAAUCAUGCCCUUGACCGCAAAGCGAAAUGGAUCCUGGUGAUAAUCUGGUGAUGCUGAAAUAUUAAAUUCCUUAAACACCCAGUCUUUCCACAGCAAAACUGCAUUGAUUUAUAUGGGUAGGUUUGUUGAAAUAAUUGUCCCAUCUUUUAUACAUGUGAAAAGAAGAGGUGACAGGAUGUAAAUGGAAAACUUUUACAAGCCAUAUUGCUGUUUGUAUAGAUAUUCA
rnacentral:lncRNA from 1 species